UACAGAGGUCUCAAGCGUUGUUCGGAUUCAUUGGGCGUAAAGGGUGCGUAGGCGGCGCGGUAAGUCGGGUGUGAAAUCUCGGAGCUUAACUCCGAAACUGCAUUCGAUACUGCCGUGCUUGAGGACUGGAGAGGAGACUGGAAUUUACGGUGUAGUGGUGGAAUGCGUAGAGCUCCGGAGGAACACCAGUGGCGAAGGCGGCCGCCUGGGCCAGUCCCGACGCUGAGCCGCGAAAGCGUGGGGAGCGAUCCGG
rnacentral:rRNA from 1 species